CCUACGGGAGGCAGCAGUGGGGAAUAUUGGGCAAUGGGCGCAAGCCUGACCCAGCAACGCCGCGUGACGGAAGAAGGCUUUCGGGUUGUAAACUUCUUUUGUCAGGGACGAAGCAAGUGACGGUACCUGACGAAUAAGCCACGGCUAACUACGUGACAGCAGCCGCGGUACUACGUAGGCGGCAAGCGUUAUCCGGAUUUACUGGGUGUAAAGGGCGAGUAGGCGGGACUGCAAGUCAGAUGUGAAAACCACGGGCUCAACCUGUGGCCUGUAGUUGAAACUGUAGUUCUUGAGGACUGGAGAGGCAGACGGAAUUCCUAGUGUAGCGGGGAAAUGCGUAGAGAUUAGGAGGAACACCAGUGGCGAAGGCGGUCUGCUGGACAGCAACUGACGCUGAGGCGCGAAAGCGUGGGGAGCAAACAGGAUUAGAUACCCCAGUAGUC
rnacentral:rRNA from 1 species